UACGUAGGGUGCAAGCGUUGUCCGGAAUUAUUGGGCGUGAAGAGCUCGUAGGCGGUUUGUUGCGUCGGCUGUGAAAUCCCGAGGCUCAACCUCGGGUCUGCAGUCGAUACGAGCAAACUAGAGUGUUGCAGGGGAGACUGGAAUUCCUGGUGUAGCGGUGAAAUGCGCAGAUAUCAGGAGGAACACCAAUGGCGAAGGCAGCACUCUGGGACGUGACUGACGCUGAGACGCGAAAGCGUGGGGAGCAAACAGG
rnacentral:rRNA from 1 species